rnacentral:ncRNA from 1 species
CUCUGAUUCCACAAAGGAUUCAGGGCAAGGAGGAG